UUUCCGUAGGUGAACCUGCGGAAGGAUCAUUAUUGUAUAACCGAGGUGCGAGGGCUUUCGCUGACCCGAAACGUCGUGCACGCCCGAGUGCCCUCACACACAUCCAUCUCACCCCUAUGUGCACCACCGCGUGGGUCCCCCUUUGGCUUGUUCGUAGGGGGGCUUACGUUUUCACACAAACUUUGUAUGCAGUGUAGAAUGUAUUUUUUGUUUUUGCGAUCACGCAAUCAAUACAACUUUCAACAACGGAUCUCUUGGCUCUC
rnacentral:misc_RNA from 1 species